rnacentral:rRNA from 1 species
GACGAACGCUGGCGGCGUGCCUAAUACAUGCAAGUUGAGCGAUGAAGGUUGGUGCUUGCACCAAUUUGAAGAGCAGCGAACGGGUGAGUAACGCGUGGGGAAUCUGCCUUUGAGCGGGGGACAACAUUUGGAAACGAAUGCUAAUACCGCAUAACAACUUUAAACAUAAGUUUUAAGUUUGAAAGAUGCAAUUGCAUCACUCAAAGAUGAUCCCGCGUUGUAUUAGCUAGUUGGUGAGGUAAAGGCUCACCAAGGCGAUGAUACAUAGCCGACCUGAGAGGGUGGUCGGCCACAUUGGGACUGAGACACGGCCCAGACUCCUACGGGAGGCAGCAGUAGGGAAUCUUCGGCAAUGGACGAAAGUCUGACCGAGCAACGCCGCGUGAGUGAAGAAGGUUUUCGGAUCGUAAAACUCUGUUGGUAGAGAAGAACGUUGGUGAGAGUGGAAAGCUCAUCAAGUGACGGUAACUACCCAGAAAGGGACGGCUAACUACGUG